AAGACGGCCCUAUGGGUUGUAAACUGCUUUUGUACCGGAGAAAACCUCCCCUCGUGAGGGGAGCUGAUAGUAUGGUAAGAAUAAGCAUCGGCUAACUUCGUGCCAGCAGCCGCGGUAAGACGAAGGAUGCAAGCGUUAUCCGGAUUCAUUGGGUUUAAAGGGAGCGUAGGCGGUUUGGUAAGUCAGUGGUGAAAUCUCUCAGCUUAACUGAGAAAUUGCCAUUGAUACUGCUGAACUUGAGUAUAGUUGCCGUUGGCGGAAUAUGACAUGUAGUGGUGAAAUACAUAGAGAUGUCAUAGAACACCGAUUGCGAAGGCAGCUGACGAAACUAUAACUGACGCUGAGGCUCGAAAGUGCGGGGAUCAAACAGGAUUAGAUACCCUGGUAGUCCGCACUGUAAACGAUGAUUACUCGCUGCUGGGAGGUAACUUUCAGUGGCUUAGCGAAAGCGAUAAGUAAUCCACCUGGGGAGUACGCCGGCAACGGUG
rnacentral:rRNA from 1 species